UUAUUUUGUGAGAAAACCUAGGCCUCUCUCUCAACCCAAACACACCUCCAUAUCAGAAAUGGCUCUCCCAUUUUUCUUUCAUUUUCUCACAAAAAACGCAAAGAGCCUUCUGUCUCUUUAGAAUAUCAACCCCCUCAUCUUUCUCAGCACGGUCACACCAGCGCUCAUUAUUACAACCCUUACAUCUCACAGCAGUUUCUUGAUCCUCUCUAAGUGCUGCAUCCGUAGCUUUCCAUAACCCAGCAACAAACACUCCCCCGUGAGUACCCAUCCAUGGUGGAGUAAGCAUGAAAACCGAGAUGAAUGAAAACCCCCAAUUGUUGCAAAUCCGAGACAAACAACACAAGAAAAACACCCUGAGUCGCCAGCUCUUCUCAACCAAACCGUGUGUCGCAUAAGUUCAAACCAUCCCAGAUUCGAGUUCCAUUCAGGCAGAUCGAGACCAUUUCGCACAUGCAACGGUACCCGAGAUGCACAAAGAGACGGGAAAGACCCACUCGAAUAGUCCCCAAACUCACGGAUCUACAAAUUUUGAGGGUAGAGCCGAGAGAAAACAACCCUUUAGCUGCUGAUCCAGUGGUCCCAGAAGUCAAAAAUAGAUAGCAAAGGCAUCGGCCACGGCAAAUGAGGAAGGGAUAUGUGGAUCCAUGAUAGCGCCGAGGGAAAAGGGAGGUAAACACAUAAGCUCGCUGGACAAAACAGGAAAGGCCCUCAGGACCCAGAUCUGUGCAUCUGGGAGGAGCAUGUCAAAUUUGAACAAACUUAACUUCACCGCUUUAAAGGUCUCUAGAAGAAACUACCUCAAGUGGGUCCAAGAUGUGAAGCUCCACCUCACCGCAAAGAACAUCUUUUUUCCUGAAGCAAGACAUGACUGGCAACAUCUGCGCUUCCAAGACUUUAAGUUUGUGAAUGAAUAUAAUUCUGAAAUCUGUUGAAUUUGAUCACUUCUCAAGUUCUAUAACAAGAACUUGACUGAAUAGGAUCUUCUGGAGAAAACCUAUUUGACCUUCUCUGCUACCAAUGUUGUCCUACAACAACAAUAUAUGUCUCAGAAGUUCACUAAGUUUUUGGAUUUGAUCUCUAUUUUACUUCUCGCUAAAAAGCAGAAUUAGCUGUUGAUGAAAAAUCAUUAAGCUCAACCUACUAGGUCCACUGUUAUGCUUGAAGCACAUUAUAGCACAAAUCAACAUCCAAAAUACCAACAUAGGCAUGGUAAGGGCGGCCAGAAGUCACCUCGUCAAGGUCAACAGAGCCAAGGCCCAUCUAAGUGAGGAAACCGAGCCCAAAAGCGCUCUAACCUAGCUUCUAAGGCCCCAAACCUCAAGUAAAAGGGCAAAGCACCUGACACCAUGGAUGUGGACAUGUGUUACCGAUGUGGUUCAAAUGACCAUUGGUACCAUGUUUGACAUGCUUCCUAGAAGGUUGUAGCUGAAUAUCAUUCUCGUCGUAAGAAAUUUGAAUCAAACUUUAUGCAAAUGGAUGAACCGGAGAGUACCAAGAUGGAGGUUUUUGACUUUCAAGAGGUUAUGACCCUUAUGGAAGAUUAGAAUCUUAGACAUGAACUAUUUUUAGUUGAAUUUUGGAACAAUGGGGUGAAUUUCACAUAGUGGUUGACCCUCCUUGUUUUUUGUUUAAGUUUGGACAAUUUUCCUUUAUGUUUGGAUUAUUUGUUGGUGAUUUGUUUUUGGAUAUUAAGUUUUUUUUAAUUACCAUCCUUGAAUACUUAAAUUAAUUUGCAUGGAUAUCUGUUUUAAGAACUUUUAUACAUAUAACCGAUUCAAAUUAAUUUUUAUUUCUAGGUAUGACUAAUGGGAAAGUUAGUUGUCUGGUAGAUAGUGCAACCACGCACACCAUUUUGCGUCAAUGCAUCUAUUUCACUAACUUUGUACCUAAGAAUGCACAUCUGACAACCCUCUCAGGCCCAUCCAACAUGAUCGAAGGAUACAGUAAGGUACAUAUAAUUUGUCUAAUGGUACAAUCUUGUCCAUUGAUGAGGCACUUUAUUCUCUUCGUUCCGGAAAAACGUUGUUGAGUUUUAAGGAUAUUAGAGAUAAUAAUUACUACGCUGAAACCUAUGUAGAAAACGAAGUUGAAUUUCUGUGCAUCACUUCUUACGAAUAUGGCCAUAACUGUAUUAUAUAGAAGAUGGAGCGUAUCCCAAGCGGUUUGUAUACUACAACUAUACACCCUAUAGAAAGCCACUAUGUGGCCGGCCCUACCUGAGGGACCGCACAUGAAAUUACAUUUUGGCAUGAUCGUUUAAGACACCUUAGACGAACAGCAAUGCGCCGUAUCCUUAAAUCAUCACACGGGCAUCCACUAACCCGAAGUUUAAGUUCGAUCCAAGGAAUCACAUGUCAAACCUGCUCCAUAAGAAAGCUUAUUAUUAGGCCUUCUUAUGACAAGAUUUGUUUGAAUCCUUCUAUUUUUCUACAAAGAAUUCAAUGGGACAUUUGUAGACCGAUUCACCAUCCCAGCGAACCAUUUGGAUAUUUUAUGGUUUUGGUUGAUGCUUCCACACAUUUGCUUGUUGUCCAUAAGGAACGUUGUAUUCUCCAAACUGUUGGCUCAGAUUAUAAAGCUCAGGCCCCACCACUCUAAUGAUCCGAUCAAAUCUAUUCGAUUGGAUAAUGCUGGAGAAUUCACAUCUAAAACUUUUAAUGACUAUUGCAUGUUGGUUGGGGUUAAAGUUGAAUAUUUAGUACCCCAUGUUCAAACCCAAAAUAGCCUAGCAUAAGCAUUCAUUAAACGCUUACAAAUGAUUGCUCAAUCAUUGGUCAUACAUACCAAGCUCCCGAUUGCUGUUUAGAGCCAUGCAAUAUUGCACGCAGCCAUGUUGGUUCGCCCGAGGCCUGUUGCAACCCAACUACAUAUCGCCCUUUAGUUGGUUACUGGAUAUUAAUCUGACAUAUCGCAUCUGAGCGUUUUUUGUUGUGCGGUCUAUGUGACGAUUUCGUCACCCUUACGUACAAAAAUGAGCCUCGGUAAAGGAUGAGAAUCUAUGUCAGAUAUGAUUCUCCUUCAAUUAUUCGUUACUUAGAACCUUUGACAAACGAUCUGUUUACCGCUCGUUUCGCGGAUUGUCAUUUCUAUGAGACAGUCUUCCCGUUAUUAAGGGGAGAUAAAAACGUCACCAUUCCUAAAGAACGAUGCGAAUUAUCAUGAACGACUCCUACUUUGUCUCAUUUAGAUCCUCACAUCGCUCAGUCUGAAAUUAAAGUGCAGCAUAUAUUAAAUGUCCAAAGCAUAGCUCAGAGCAUGCCAAAUGCUUUCACGGAUCUAGCGCGAGUGACCAAAUCACAUAUUCCAGCUGCAAAUGUGCCAACAAAGAUGGAUGUACCAAAUGUACAAUGUACUUCCCUCCUGAAAGCCCGAGAAGCCACCUUGGCGAAUCCACGUAUAUUAGCAGCUAGUCAAUCUUCUACCCCCUACACAAAAGUGUGGCAAACCACUUAGAUUCACACCCCCGGAAGAGGAAACCCACGACACAAGUUCCUUUUGAGCUUACCGUGAAUCCAACUAUCGCCUACUCAUUUUAUUCAACUCAUGAGGAAAUUCUAGAUUACAGAAGCGUCCUUAAAGAGACAAAUCUACCUCCCGAGAAUUGCAAGAUUUUGGUCCAUUAUGCUAGCUUGGAUGAUGUUUGGUGUAAAAAUGAGAUGAUCAUCGACAAUGCAUUAGCAUAUGCAAUAGCUAUUAAGAUUGUGUUGAGUAAUGACAUUGAAUCCCAUUUCGUUGAAGAAUGUCGACGUAAAACUGAUUAGUCAAACUGGAAAUAAGCAAUCUAAGUCAAACUCGAUUCGCUUGUGAAACGUAAAGUGUUUAGACCUGUAGCUCCUACUCCUCCACAUGUGAAGCCAGUUGGCUACAAGUAGGUUUUCGUUCGAAAGCGUAAUAAGUAGAACGAAAUUAUGCUUUACAAAGCUCAUCUUGUUGUGCAAGGCUUCUCACAACGCCCCGGGAUUGACUAUGACGAAAUUUAUACACCUUUUAUGGAUGUGAUUACUUUUCGCUACCUUAUCAGUUCGGUAGUUUCAGAAAAAUUAAGUAUGCAGCUGAUGGACGUAGUAACUGUGUAUCUCGAUGAGGAUUUUGAUACGGAAAUUUAUACAAAAGUUCUCGAAGUACUUGCACAAAUAUUUCCAAACCACGAAACACGCUCCCAAUUCGGCUAAGGCGUUCACUUUACGUUUUGAAACAAUCCGGAAAAAUGUGGUAUAACCAUCUGAGUGAAUAUUUGACUAGUCAGGGAUAUAUGAACAACAAACUAUGCCCUUGCGUGUUCAUUAAGAA